rnacentral:rRNA from 1 species
GAUGAACGCUGGCGGCGUGCCUAAUACAUGCAAGUCGAGCGAAGCGGGGACGGGUGAGUAACACGUGGAUAACCUCCUAUAAGACUGGGAUAACUUCGGGAAACCGGAGCUAAACCGGUUACUUAUAGAUGGAUCCGCGCUGCAUUAGCUAGUUGGUAAGGUAACGGCUUACCAAGGCAACGAUGCAUAGCCGACCUGAGAGGGUGAUCGGCCACACGGGAACUGAGAAACGGUCCAGACUCCGACGCGAGGAGGCAGUUGGGAAGAUUCCGAAAUGGGCGAAAGCCUGACGGAGCAACGCCGCGGGUGUGAUGAAGGUCUUCGGAUCGUAAAGCUCUGUUAGUAGGGAGGCGGUACCUAAUCAGGAAGCCACGGCUGACUACGUGCCAGCAGCCGCGGUAAUUC